rnacentral:rRNA from 1 species
CCUACGGGUGGCAGCAGUGAGGAAUAUUGGUCAAUGGACGCAACUCUGAUCCAGCCAUGCCGCGUGCAGGAAGACGGCUCUAUGCGUUGUAAGCUGCUUUUGUACGAGGGUAAACGAAGAUACGCGUAUCUGUCUGCCCGUCUCGUACGAAUAAGGCUCGGCUAACUCCGUGCCCGCAGCCGCGGUAAUACGGAGGAUUCAAGCGUUAUCCGGAUUUAGUGGGUUUAAAGGGUGCGUAGGCGGUCGGAUAAGUUCGAGGUGAAAUCCCGAGGCUCAACUUCGGAAUUGCCUCUGAUACUGUUCGGCUAGAGAGUAGUUGCGGUAGGCGGAAUGUAUGGUGUAGCGGUGAAAUGCGUAGAUAUUA